AUGUGUCCUCUCUGCCAGGUCAAACGCAACCUACUGAAUGUCUCCUACCGCAUCGCACAGUACACAGACAUCAUCUCAGACCUGCGCAGGGAGAUUGAGCAUCUCAAAUCAAAAAUUGAGAAGCAAGAGAAGAAAAGUGAACCUGACAUCCCGGAUGUUCAAGUCACAGUCGGCCCCCACAACACAGAAGAAGAGAGCCACUUGCAGAUGAACAAGAUCCGGGCGCAGCUCAUCGGAGCCUUUAAGGAGCAGAUGGAGAUGCGGCGCAGCCUGGUGGAGUUAGAGAAUACCAACCUCGAGCUGCAUGUGGACCUGUCCCGCCACCUACUGACCAUUGCAGACUGGGAGCGGGAGAAGAGUGACCUCCACAUGCAAAGGGACCGAGGCGAGCUGGAGAAGGAUGAGGAGCAGGCAGACACUGAUGGGGAGGAUGCAUCCACAGAGCCACACGAGGUGGCUGUGGCCAGAGAGGAAGUCAACCUACUGUUAGCCGAGCAGCGGAAAACCUCAGCCCUCAAGGCCAGCCUGGAGCAGCGGCUAGCCCUCGCCAAGGAGAAAGCGUCGCAGAUGGAGACGCUGCUGCCCACACAGGUGACCAGUGAGGACCAGCAGGAGGUGCUGCGGUUGCUGUGCAGGGCUCAUGAGCUGGAGGUGGAGAACACAGAGCUGAGGGCCGACGGCCUGUGUCGCAAGAGCCUGCUGUGCCAGAAGGACCUGGUGAUCCAGCGCUGCCAGCAGCACCGGCGGCUCUGUGAGCAGCUCAUCCAGGGGCAGCGGCAGUUGAUGCAGGGUGAGCCCAGACCGCUGGAUGCGUGGGUUUAUAUGUCAUUAUUGUCUAGAAAGUGGAGGCUGUGCCUGGGGUUAAAACACACUGAACAAACCGGGCAUGGUGCUGCAAACCUGUAAUCCCAGCACUUGGCAAGAGAAUCACAAAUUCAAGUCCCCCUGGGCAACUUAGCAACUUAGUGAGAAUUUGCCUCAAAAAAAAAAUUGAAAAAGGGAUAUAGCUCCAUGGUAGAGCACCCUUUGGUCCAACACCACAAA
rnacentral:lncRNA from 1 species